rnacentral:rRNA from 1 species
AAGGGCUUGAGAUCAGACUUGGCAUUUUGCAUGUUGCUUCUUCGGGGGCGGCCUCUGCGGUUUGUCGGGCCAGCAUCAGUUUGGGCGGCAGGACAAUCGCGUGGGAAUGUGGCACGGCCUCGGCUGUGUGUUAUAGCCCGCGUGGAUACUGCCAGCCUAGACUGAGGACUGCGGUUUAUACCUAGGAUGUUGGCAUAAUGAUCUUAAGUCG